GACGAACGCUGGCGGCGUGCUUAACACAUGCAAGUCGAACGGAAAGGCCCUGCUUUUGUGGGGUGCUCGAGUGGCGAACGGGUGAGUAACACGUGAGUAACCUGCCCUUGACUUUGGGAUAACUUCAGGAAACUGGGGCUAAUACCGGAUAGGAGCUCCUGCUGCAUGGUGGGGGUUGGAAAGUUUCGGCGGUUGGGGAUGGACUCGCGGCUUAUCAGCUUGUUGGUGGGGUAGUGGCUUACCAAGGCUUUGACGGGUAGCCGGCCUGAGAGGGUGACCGGCGACAUUGGGACUGAGAGACGGCCCAGACUCCUACGGGAGGCAGCAGUGGGGAAUAUUGCACAAUGGGCGGAAGCCUGAUGCAGCAACGCCGCGUGCGGGAUGACGGCCUUCGGGUUGUGAACCGCUUUCGCCUGUGACGAAGCGUGAGUGACGGUAAUGGGUAAAGAAGCACCGGCUAACUACGUG
rnacentral:rRNA from 1 species